ensembl:lncRNA
GGGAGGGGUCACCGCGCCGACUAGUCCCUAGUAUUCGAAUAAUUCAUUCAUACAUAGACUGUGGCUGUUUGUUACCACUUUGGCUUACCGGAGCGGCAGUUCCUCCAGACUUCUUGUGGUGGCGCUUCCCAGAGGCAGAUGGUCAGAUUAUCGGAAAAUGAGACAGCACUAAGUUUACCUCUUGGAGAGCAGCGGGCAAACAACAAACGAUAAAGGACAUUCCUACUUGGUCUUGAACUGUGACAUUUUAGUGAAGGGAGUAGAUCGUAGCUGAUAGUGAUCCGUGACUAGGCCCACGGUUCAGCACGCAUGUGUUCAGUGAACACACACAGAAGAAUUGGAGAAACUGAGGAGGAGUUUCAACAUCUGGAGAAGCAGUUGGAAAUUGAGAAGAUCCGGGCAGCAAAGUUUUGCAUUUGGCUAGGGUCAGUGUCACUACUGGUAGCAUGAGGCGAUACCUGGACCUUACAAAGGUUGCACAGGCAGUCCAACUCCUCCAGGAUGGCGCAUCAAUAUGUGCCAUUGCCAGAAGGUUUGCUGUGUCUCCCAGCACAGUCUCAAGAGCAUGUAGGAGAUUCCAGGAGACAGGCAGUUACUCUAGGAGAGCUGGACAGGGCAGUAGAAGGUCCUUAACCCAUCAGCAGGACCUGAAUCUGCUCCUUUGUGUGCAAGGAGGAACAGGAUCAGCACUGCCAGAGCCCUACAAAAUGACCUUCAGCAGGCCACUGGUGUGAAUGCCUCUGAGAAAACAAUCAGAAACAGACUUCAUGAG